AUUGAUAGGGCUGCUUAGCAGGUUACUGUGAUAUAGUAAGUGUAAGAUUCGGGAUCUUCGUC
rnacentral:tRNA from 1 species